rnacentral:rRNA from 1 species
UACAGAGGGGGCAAGCGUUAUUCGGAAUCACUGGGCGUAAAGGGCGCGUAGGCGGCUUUUCAAGUCGGGGGUGAAAUCCUGGAGCUCAACUCCAGAACUGCCUUUGAUACUGAAGAUCUUGAGUUCGGGAGAGGUGAGUGGAACUGCGAGUGUAGAGGUGAAAUUCGUAGAUAUUCGCAAGAACACCAGUGGCGAAGGCGGCUCACUGGCCCGAUACUGACGCUGAGGCACGAAAGCGUGGGGAGCAAACAGG